UACGGAAGGUGCAAGCGUUAGUCGGAAUUACUGGGCGUAAAGGGUGCGUAGGCGGGAGCGUACGUCAGAUGUGAAAUUCCGGGGCUCAACCCCGGAGCUGCCUCUGAAACGGCGCUUCUUGAGGACUUGCGGAGAGAAUGGAAUUCCAUGUGUAGCGGUGAAAUGCGUAGAUAUAUGGAAGAACACCAGUGGCGAAAGCGAUUCUCUAGCAUAAUCCUGACGCUAAGGCACGAGAGCAAGGGGAGCAAACAGG
rnacentral:rRNA from 1 species